rnacentral:rRNA from 1 species
UACGUAGGGUGCAAGCGUUGUUCGGAAUCAUUGGGCGUAAAGCGCGUGUAGGCGGUUGGUUAAGUCGGAUGUGAAAUCCCUCGGCUCAACCGAGGAAGUGCAUUCGAAACUAGCCAGCUAGAGAGUGGUAGAGGAAGGUGGAAUUCCUAGUGUAGAGGUGAAAUUCGUAGAUAUUAGGAGGAAUACCGGCGGCGAAGGCGGCCUUCUGGACCAAUUCUGACGCUGAGACGCGAAAGCGUGGGGAGCAAACAGG